ACUGCGUCUGGAGGGAGAGAAAGCGGUUGUAGCUUAGCUCUGGAGACCCUUGAUGAGAGACAGGAAGGAAACGUCUCCCGUGCCGGUGCUCACUACACAUUGCCCACAUUGGCUCUCCUGCGCACACCUCAGCCUUGGAUUCAAAUCAUCCAGGUGGACGGCGUCUGAUCUGCCUGCAGCAGAGCUCAGAGGCUCCCAUGCACUGCCCGAAACAUCGCCCUGAGCUGCAGCAGGGCUUGUGGAAAGAAACGCCACAGCCUUGUGGGGAGGCUUCAGUGAUGAAGGAUCUGACCCAGCCCUGUACAGUCCUUUGCUUCUGAAAAGAUCUGCCCAGAGCCAGGGUGGAACUCGUGGUUUCAAGUUCUGCUUUGCUUUGUCUGGGAGCAGAAAAGGCAGCUACCAUCAGUUCUUACAGAUCAAAUCGCACCUUACACUUGUUUUGUUAAAUUAAAGGGACGUUUCCAAUUUGCUGUAAGGCACAGAAUACUCCCACAGCCCACAUAAUUCCUGCAAUUCUGGUAUCUGGAGUUUGUCAGCAUCCUUGCAAGGUGUGCUGUCCUUCCAAGCAGGAGUGGAAGGCCUUUAUGGAAGCAGGUGGUGCCAACAGGAGAGGACCUUGCAAGGCUUUUCACAACUGCCAGUCAACAAUUAGCACUUUCUCCACAUAUCAGAUAUCAGCCAUCAGCUCUGCUGCAGCCCUUACAGCCCACUGGAGUCCAGUGAUGACAGACUGCUGGCUUUCUCCUCAUCUGAUUUCAGAACACUGGCACCUGUGGCCAGGUUUGGGAACUGUAGGCAAGCAAAUCUAGCUCCAAAUUUUUCCUGGGCAUAACCCUGCACAGCCCAGUUUUCUUCAGCUGUGCACCUUGAAAUAAUCCAGGAUAUGACAGUGGCAAAGCCAAGGGCUUAGACUACAGCAAGCUCUUGCAGAGCAAACAUGAUUGUCAAGGGGAAGCCCCACACCAAGGACUGAGCUCUGAUGUGUUUCCAGCACGUGCGCUGUCAGAUGUGCAGGGGGCUCUUCACCUUCCAUGGGUGGGGGCUGUGUAACACAGAGGCUGGGGGGUUUAGGAAGAGGCACUGCUUGCAGUGCAGAAUUCACCGAGAUGUUUUUAGGUAUUUCUACACUUCCACUCAGACCCUGUUUGCUGCUUGUGCUUCUUUGCCAUGCUCCCAGCACUUCUGUGCUCGUAGCUCAGAGAACUCCUGCUCGGGAAUUAAUCUUACUUAGACAGGAGAACCUUAUGGCCCUGAAGAAGCAGACCACGCCGUGCUGCGCGUGGGGACAGCGAAAGGCAGUGUUAUCAGACUGUCUUUUGGAAUGAGAAUGAGGGACCUUCUGAGGGGUGGUGCCCAGGGGCUCUGUGUGAGUGCCUGGCGCGCCCCCAGCCCUUGUAGGAGAAAAAGACCCGCGGACCCGGGCAGCACGUUGGACCUCGUUUAAAUGAGCCGCGUUCUGCCACAAGCGGCGGCGCCCUGUGGUGGCCUCGUAGAAGCAUCGGGGCGAGCUUCAGUUACCUGCAUCUCAGAGAAUAUCCUGAGGCUGCAUGGAGUCAUACUGCACGUGUUCUGUCUUAGGAAAGAAGCACCCGACUUACAGCAAAGUUGAAACUACAGAACUGGGCGAGAGAUACAAAACUGCAAACUGCUCUGAGCCCUACAGGGAAUUCAGACCUCAGGGUGGAGUAGGAUGAAAAUCCCUAUGAUGGCACAGCAGCAAAGGGCAGCACUGCUUCCAGGUGCCUCCUGGCACAAGCUGUCAGCCCCACAGGACUUCACGGAGGGGCCUCAUCUCCUUAGGAGAUACCCGUGGCCCAGUACUGCUCCUAGAGCCACAGACUGCCUUUAUACACCAUGGAUGAGCACAGAUGAAAACAAGUUGUUGCCUGCCACAGAAGAGCUGUCUUGGUCACUGGUUCCAUAAGAGUCAUAAUAGCAAAACUGCAAAGACUUCAGUCUGAGGACAUUUUACUGCAGUCAAGUACUGUAGUGAAUAAUCAUAAAGAAAGCACGCCAAGAAGUGAGGGAGGAGUGCUUUUAAGAGAGCCUCUCACUGCUGUGAGAAAUGCCCAUGAAUUAGUCUGUGCCUGCCAGAAGGGGGAGAACAGUGGAGGACGUUUCAACACGUGCCUCCGGAUUCCAAAAGCCAGUGGAAUACUGCAUUUGCCCUCAAAGUUCCUGCUACAGGAGUUGCUUUGCCACGGCAACAAAGCACAGCAGACUGCCCGUAUCCAGCUCUCCACAACCUCCUUGCUUCCCUUAAACAACACACUCACUCCCAGCAAAGGGUCACAAGGAAGCGGUGUGUGAACGUACCUGGUACACUCCUCUCGUGCUCUGGACGAUGCAGUCUCCUUGAAGAGGGAGCUGCUCUGCUUGAA